rnacentral:lncRNA from 1 species
AUGUUAUUCAAGUAGAUUCAAUGUUCUAAAAAUUGUGAAAUGCAGGAAGCAAGACAAAUUAUGCAUUAGCAAGUCUCUUGGUGACCUUCCAGCUUGGCUGUCCCCAUCUUCCACUGACAUCUUAGGACAAGCAAGAGUGAUUCAGGUUCCAGAUUCAAGGUCUCCUUUCAGGAAAAGAGGUCAUUCCACCUUCAUCUAUAAGAUGACAUUCUAGCUCAAUCAGCUGCAGCACUACUUAUUUAAGACAAGAGAAGAAGGUGAAAGGAGAACAAGGCAAUUACAAGGUUAGUCUCUAUUUCCAAAGCAUCACCUGAGGCUUCAUUCAGAUAAUUUCAAUUAACUUUUAUGGAAGUUACUCAGCUAAAACCCCAGCAAAUGCUACUGUAACUAGAUUCAGUGCUCCAGAGCUAUACAACUGCUGAGGAAUUUAUACCAUCAUUUUUUUCAAGUGUACCAAAAAAUAUCGCUCCCAAGACUGACC